rnacentral:rRNA from 1 species
UGUGGUGGUCCGUCGUCGUCAGGUCGGGUCGUGGAGGUGGCGGUGGAGCGCGCGCGGUAGUCGAUCGAUCCUAUCCUGCACGGGGCAGGGGGGCGGCUUUGGCGCGGCUCGAAAGAGUAGGGCGAGGCAGGUGCGGCGCUAGGUGUGGGAAGGGACAGGGGGUGGGGGGAGGACCUUUAAGCCGUGGAAGUGUGGCGGGAUAUCGAUGGUCAUGUUUUGUGCUCGGUCGGAAGGAACGUGCCGAUGAGACGAGAGGGGACGAGACGAGAAGGGGACUCUGCCUGCCGUGUGCGGGGCAAGGAACGGACAGCAGGGCACCGCGCGUGGCCGCGAGCUCGGCUCGGGGAGUGCGGGCGGUGGCGCCGUCGAGCGGUCUCUUGCGCGGCUCUCUACUCGACGGACCCCACCGAGUUGUCCUCCUUCCCCAGGCCCUCGCCCUCCGCCCCGAGGAGCCGGAGCCGCGGCCGGUGGUGCUACUGCUGGUACUGGUGGUGGUGGUGGUGGUGGUGGUGGUGGCCCAGCCGCCACUCGUGCUCGGCCAGCCUGCUGAGGCCCCGCCCCGCCGGGUGGUCGUUCAGGUGCCCGAGGCGGAGGAGCGUCGCCUCGUAGAGGAGCGAGAUGCUCCUCGCGCCGGUGCCGGUCGACGCGCGGAAGCUCAUGCUGCUGGAGGCCCGGCGGUGGUUGCUGAAGCCGGCGCGCGUCUUCGAGCCGCUCCCGCCGAAGCCGCCGCAGAUGUUCCCGAAGCAGGCGGGCGAGCUGGGGGCCCGGCUGGCGUAGCGGCAGCGGCAGUUCGCGGAGUUGUGCGCGCCGGAGGUCCCUGUAUUCGUCACCGACCGUCUUCAUGUCAAGGAACCCCAAGAACUCGUGGGUUUAGAACAUUUGGAAGAGCCUAUAACACGGCAACUACCACUUUCCCCCCGGGUUUCUAAUGACCAGAUACUCAUGUACGGGUUGUUCUCGGACCUUCUAGUGAACAAGUCGGCUUAGGUAGGACGAGAGAGCACCUUGUCUUCCGAAGUCUAAUAGAACCCACGGCGACUUCCUAACCGAAUGGAGGUACUUCCCGACCUUGAAGUCCACUAGAUGGCCCUGAAGUUUCGCAGCUUGCACGACGACCUGUUCCUGAAGGUUCGCUUCGAUAGUCUGAAACCCGAGCGCUCCCUCCCCGGUUGUCUCCCCUUGUGAGUACAGAGUUGACGCCGACACCCCUGCGUGCCCAUGCGCCGCGGCCUUAUGUAGCUCUUCCCCGUGGACUGCCGCUUCUCGCUGCACACCCCGAAGCCCCACCACGACAUGCUCUAGGACUGCCCCGCCGCCAGCGACCUGUCCUUGGCCGGCGUCCCCCUCGUCUUCGACUAGCUCACCCACCAGGUCAAGGGCGGCCUGUCGGCGUUGAAGGCGUACUAGUACCUGGGGUUCGAGGCGCCGCUCAUGAGGAGGUUCCGCCGGGCCCUCUAGCGGUUCGAGCGGGUCUCGACGGAGGAGUUCUUGGGGUUCCUCGCCGGGCGGUACUCGCUCUAGCAGCUCCACGAGUCCGCUCGGCACGUCUGGCUCGUUCGGAUACACCUGUUCCGUGGGCAGCGGCCGUUGCCCUUCUCCCAGUUGCACCGCGGCGGCAGCUCCUCCACUGACUACACGACAGCUCCUCUUAAGGAACAGGGAGGAAAAUCCGCUCCAAACGCAUAUCGAUACAGUUGUACUCAAAUCUACUAAACCCAACAGCCUAACAACUAUCACAAAAGGGGAGAAGAAACUCCGAGUAAACUCACUUCUUAGUCAAUGACACCUUACGUUUAAUUGGUCGGUUAUGAAUUCAUCCUCAUCUUUGGGAAUGGACAACCUCCUCAGUGACGAGUAUAUCAAGUUAUCAACCUAUUGGGUGAGACUCUCGUAGAGGUUGUGCGCGCGUUUCGUGCCGCGCAAUUUUAUUGGAAAUGUUGUGGCUUUAUCGUUGUGGCUAUAUAGAGUGGAACCCAAAACAUUUCAUAGCACUUCGUUUCCCUUGUAGUGUACUAUUGUUUUCCAAGUAAGC